CAGGUCAAUGCCUUAGUAGCGGCGAGUGAGCGGCAAAAGCUCAAAUUUGAAAUCUGGCUCUUUCAGAGUCCGAGUUGUAAUUUGAAGAAGGUAUCUUUGGGUCUGGCUCUUGUCUAUGUUUCUUGGAACAGAACGUCACAGAGGGUGAGAAUCCCGUGCGAUGAGAUGAUCCAGGCCUAUGUAAAGUUCCUUCGAAGAGUCGAGUUGUUUGGGAAUGCAGCUCUAAGUGGGUGGUAAAUUCCAUCUAAAGCUAAAUAUUGGCGAGAGACCGAUAGCGAACAAGUACAGUGAUGGAAAGAUGAAAAGAACUUUGAAAAGAGAGUGAAAAAGUACGUGAAAUUGUUGAAAGGGAAGGGCUUGAGAUCAGACUUGGUAUUUUGUAUGUUACUUCUUCGGGGGUGGCCUCUACAGUUUAUCGGGCCAGCAUCAGUUUGGGCGGUAGGAGAAUUGCGUUGGAAUGUGGCACGGCUUCGGUUGUGUGUUAUAGCCUUCGUCGAUACUGCCAGCCUAGACUGAGGACUGCGGUUUAUACCUAGGAUGUUGGCAUAAUGAUCUUAAGUCGCCCGUCUUGACCCCCCGAAACCA
rnacentral:rRNA from 1 species